rnacentral:lncRNA from 10 species
CGCACGCCACUUCCCUCAGCCUGUAGAACUUCCGGCAGCAACUGCAAUUAGGGGUAGUCCAGUGCUAAAUUGUCGCAGCCUUGAAAAUAUUCUGCUUCGUUAUUUCGGGCACUCCACAGAUUCUGUUGCGAAGGCAGCCAUCUUUAGUUCGUCUUUCCUAGAGAGCGUUGAGAAGAUUCUGCUCCAUUUUUUCUGAUUAUGGAUUCUGUUCAGAAGGAAGCCGAAUUUUAAGUCAUCGUUCUAGGAUAGAUUCAGCUCCAUUUUCUCUGGUGGUAGAUCUCCAUGGAUGCUAUUGAGAAGGUACUUCUCAAAGUCCACGAGGACAAGGACAUCUUUCCACCGAAUGCCACCUGGUUUAUAACAAAAGCAUGAAAAACAAACAGGAAUUUCUCAAUGCAGAAAGGACUGAAGCUGUCAAAGGUGUGCUUUUUUUCUGCACAAACAAGUUUCCAUUGAAUGAUAGAAUAAAGAGAUACUGACUUCCCCGGAGCCUCCAAACUUGAGUAGUCAGGCAUUGGGAUCCGUGGAAGGCUUGUUAAAUCCAAAUAGAUUGGUCCUACUCCAUCCGCAGAGUUGCUGACGAGGUGCGUCCAGGCCUUCUCCUCACCUCUCAGGGAGAUAUACCAUGCAGUGCCUUCAGUUAUGGUGUUGUGACUGAGGAUGCUUCGGUCAGACAUGUCCCUGAAAACCUGCAUAGAGCUGCACUUCAAGGGAAGUUAUUGAAUAUGUCCUAUCCAACUAAAACAAGGAAAUGAUGAAAAAAAUAAAAUCACUUUCCAGAGGCCUCAGGGCUAACUGGAGACAGAGCUCAGACUGCAACUGAGAAAAGUUGGACUCCAAAACCUGUACUCUGAGCUUUACUGCAUGAGAAAGUUAUUGAAAUGUGCCUUGUGACAUUCAGAAUAAGUGACUUUUCAGAGGUCUCAGAGUCAGUAAGAGACAGAACUCAGAUUGUAACCAAGAAGAGCUGAACUCCAAACUUCUGUGUCCGGAAUUGGUGGGUUCUUGGUCUCACUGACUUCAAGAAUGAAGCGGCAGACCCUCGCGAUGCAAUGGAUUAAGACUCUUGACUAGAAUAAUCUGAAGCAUUCUGCGUGAAUUUGUGACCAAAGAAACCAAAAAUCAGGCUACCUUUGACAAUGUCAAAUUACAGUGAACUGUGGAGUCGAUUAUACCUCUCAUAUUUCUUUAUUAUGUUAAAUGCUUAAUUAUUUGCUUGAUUCUGUCUUUGUCAUAGUCCUUUAUUACAAUGACGUCUUAUUUAAGUAAAAGAAUUCCAAAUACAUAGAAAACAAAAGCAUUUGUUUUAUUUCAAAAUAAUGAAGAAACAUAAUAGGUUAUACAACUUUUCAAGAGACCAUUAUGCUGUUAAAUCAUUUAUAUAUCUUCUCUUUAUUUGGACUCAGAAAAUAUGGACAUUAUAAUGCAAAAAGUUACUGAAAAAUCAAUGUCAGCAUCAUCUGAACUCUUUUCCCCUAAUCUAAUCUAGGCAUUUGGAUUACCCAUUUCUAAGCACAUCAGUGGUUUUUGAAUGUCAGUAGCACCCUGCUUAAUCAAUAAGCCUUUAUUUGGCUCAAUGAACUGCUGAUACGUACUUUUACAUAUUCAAAAUCUGUCCCUCAGUAUGGAUACUAACUAGAUCUUUUUUGAAUGAGAAGGUCAGGUCAGGCUCCCCCUUGGCAAUGAUACCAGCUCCCUCAGAUUCUCAUUAAUGGAACCAUGUGCUCACUGAACAAAGAAUGCUUACAGAAAAAAAAAAGAAUAUUGACGUCAGUGUAUAUUAUAUUCCUUAAAAAUAUUUAUAAACGAGCAUUCGUUAUAGAAGCAAGGAACAUGACAGCUUAUUGAUUAUGCAAAUAUGUUCCUUGUACGCUUUUAAAAUAAAUCAAUUAGUGCAAGAGUUGGCAAAGUCUUCCUUAAAGGGCAAGAUUAUUAAAAUAUUAGGCUUUGCUGGCCAUUUGGUCUGUCACAACUAAUUAACUCUGCUGUCGUAAUGGGAAAACAGCCACAGACAAUAUGUGAAAUAAUGGAUGUGGCUGUAUUUCAAUAAAACUUUGUUUAGAGAAACAGGUGGUGGGACAGUGUGUUGAUCCCUGAACUAAUGGGAUAAAAUAUAACUUAAAUAUAAUAUGCAUGUAUGUACAUAUGUUUCUGUUUACAAAAUAGAAUUGAGUGUCUCUUUCAGCUAAUUGAGCACCAUAAUGUAAACCUACAAGAGGUACGAGAGAAUUUCGUAUAUGUAUUUGAAGUCUUGACACUGCUAAAUCUUUUGUUUGUAAUUGGCAUGCCAUGUUGGAAGACAUAAUAGAGAAACUGUCUAUCCAUGCGUCCUUUACUUAAGAAAACUAAACUCUUCUCUGAAGUUAUGUGGUAUAGAUUUUUCCUAAAGGAAGCCAACCAGUUGAAAGAUCAAGCUAUGCAUUAACUCAUCACACUUUAAAUAAGUAAAUAAAUAAAUAACUCACCUAGUUCAUUGUUUGGAUGGUUUAUUGGAUGUGAGAUACUUCAUACUGUCCUGACACAGAGUUUAUUACCUAUGUAAGAGAAGGCACAUAUGGUUAGGUUUCAAGAGAUAUUCUAAUUGUUUCCUGUGGUGAUGUUUGAACUCUACAGUCAAAUUCAGAUGCAUUUAAUUUGGUAAGGUAGACAAUUGGUUAAAUGUUUGGUGUCAAAGUAAGAAAUACAUAGUGAAUUGAUGGAGAGGAAUGUUCUUAAAGUGGUCUAUACAGAUUGACCCUAAAAUCAACCUCACCUUUAUAUCAACCUCGUCUUUGAAAAGAUUGCAGCCCCAAGGACUUUGAUUAUUUUUCUUCAUGACCUCUCUGGGUACCUGAUAAUAGGAAUAGACACACGAAAAAAAACCUGAUAAUGUUACUCUGGUGUAAUCACAACUACUUCUGCUCUAUUAAAACUACCAUGCGAUAUGACCACUUUUACAGUCAUUUGUUAACUUUCUCUUUUAUCAUCAAAGUUGUACUGCACAUACUCAAAACUGACAGCUACAAUAGAGUGGCCCAUAUAUUCUCUGAGAUCAAGACAGAAACAUUACUCAUCAAAUUCUAAUCUAGUGUCACAUAGGAGAAAUACAACUAGCCAGUGAGACUCUCACUGCUAUCUGGCUCACAGAAACAGAUAGAGCAACUUCUCAUCUAUUAUUGAAGCAUUGCAGAAAUUGUGGUGCAGUGUAUGUGCCUACACUAUAAAGUAGCUAGGCUUGCACUUUUUAUGUGUGUUUGGCCAUAUAAUUCAUCUGGGCCUAGUAUCAACUCAGGACAUGGAUAUACUUUUUAAAGUAAUUGAGUAAUGUAUAUCUUUAAAAGCAAUCUCGUUAGAGCUUUAGGACAUUUCUAACAAAGCAAUGAAAUGUAGAGAUCUUAAUACAUUUCUAUGACUAUGAAUGUAAAUAAUAUAUGUUAUUUAAUAUUUUUCACAUGAAAAGAAAAUACUAACCCAGAAUGAAAAUGUAUCAAUAAUCCUGAGUAAAUUAAUCUAACAACAAUGAAUGUUUUGUGGUGCAUAUUUGGCAAAGCCUUCAAAUUUGUCAGACCUUUACAAAUCAUUUUCUUAUGUAGAGUCAUUGCUGUGUUUUGUAAUAAAUUUUGAAAACUGGCUUUAUGGAAUAAAAUAAAAAGCAAAUUUAUUAACUUUUUUGUAAAAGCUUUUCAAUGGUUUCACUAACUAUUUAAAAACAAAAAUAAAUAACCUUUGAGAUUGCUAUAUCAUUGAGAUUAUUUUAAAAGUCUCUUGAAAGUACUUAUACCUUAUUUGGUAUUAUAAAGAGGUUUCUAUAAAAAGUUACUUGUAUUUUGUGUCCCAAAUAAUUCAACAACAUAUUUAUUCAUUCUGCAAACAAACGAUAGCUGUUCCCUAAAGCAAUAUUUAUUAGAAAACUUAGGAAACCUGAGCAAAAUAUUGACUGAAGACAAACACAUUUAUAAUCAAUUAAAGAUAAAAAAGUUAACUUUUUACAAGAUGGACUAAAGAUUUAAAUGUAAGACCUCAAACUAUAAAAAUCUGAGAAGAAAACUGAGUAAAUACCCUUCUCGGUGUGAGCUUUGGCAAAAAAAAAAAAAAAAAAAAUUAUGGCUAAGAACCCAAAAGCAAUUGAAACAAAACCAAAAAUUGACAAGGGAGCCUAAUUCAACUAAAGAGCUUCAGCAUAGCAAAAAGAAUUAUGAACAGAAUAAACAGGCAGCCUACAGAAUGGGAGAAAAUGUUUCCAAGCUAUACAUCCAACAAAGGUCUAAUAGAGCCUAGAAGGAACUUAACAAGCAAAAAACAAUCCAAUUAAAAUGUGGUCAAAGGACAUGAACAGACACUUCUCAAAAUAAGACAUGCAGGUGGCCAACAAACAUGAAAAAAUGCUCAUGAACACUAAUCAUCAGAGAAAUACAAAUUAAAACCAAAAUAGAAUACCAUCUCACACCGGUCAGAAUGGCUAUUACCAAAAAGUCAAAAAAUAACAGAUGCUGGCAAAACUGCAGAGAAAAGGGAAUGCUUACACACUGUUUGUGGGAAUGCAAAUUGGUUCAACCACUGUGGAAAGCAGUUUGGAGAUUCCUCAAAGAUUUGAAAACAGACCUACCACUCGACACAGCAAUCCCAUUACUGGAUAUAUACUCAAAGGAAAAUACAUCUCUCAACCAAAAACAAACAUUCACUCAUAUGUCUUUGUCAGUGCUAUUCACAAUAGCAAAGACGCAGAAACAAUAUAGGGACCCAACAAUGGUGGACUGGAUUUUAAAAAUGUAGUACAUAUACACCAUGAAAUACUGUGUAGCCAUACAAAGAAUGAAAUAAUCUAUUUUGCAGCAACAUGGAGGCAACUGGAGGCCAUUAUCUUAAGAAAAUUAACUCAGGAACAGAAAAUUAAAUGCUAUAUGUUCUGAUAUAUAAAUGGAAGGUAAACAUUGAGUACAUGUGGACUUAAAGAUGGGAGCAAUAGAAACUAAGGACUACUAGAUAGGAGAAGGAGGGAGGUGAAUGGGCUGAAAAACAACCUAUUGGGUACUGUCUGGGUGGGAUCAUGUGUACCCCAAACUUCAGCAUCACACAGUAUACACAUAUACACACAUAUAUACACACAUAUGUAUAUACACAUAUAUGUAAUAUAUCAAUACACAUAUAUGUAAAUGUAUGUGUAUAUAUGUAAAUAUGUAAAUAUAUGUAUAUAUGUGUGUGUAAAUAUAUGUAUACAUGUAUAUGUGUGUAAAUAUAUGUAUGUAUACAUAUAUGUAUAUGUGUGAAUAUGUAUGUGUAUAUGUAAAUAUAUGUAUAUAUACAUAUGUAUACAUGUAAAUGUAUGUGUGUACGUGCAUAUGUAAACACACAUAUGCAUAUAUGUAAAUAUAUGCAUAUGUAAAUACAUAAAUGCAUAUUUAUGUAAAUACAUGUAAAUAUGCAAACACACAGAUGCAUGUUUAUGUAAAUAUAUGUAAAUACAUAAUGUGCAAAGCGCAUGUAUAUGUAAAUAUAUGUAAAUAUGCAUAUAUGUAAAUGUGCAUGUAUACACAUGUAUGCAUGUAAAUGUGUAUGGCUAUAAACAUACGCAUAUAUGUAAAUAUAUACGUAUAUGUAAAUAUAUGUAAAUAUAUUUACAUAUAUACAUAUUCACGUUAUGCAUAUAUGUAAAUAUAUUUACAUAUACACAUACAUAUUCACACAUAUACAUAUAUGUAUACAUACAUAUAUUUACACACAUAUACAUGUAUACAUAUAUUUACACACACAUAUACAUAUACAUUUACAUAUAUGUAAAUUGAUAUAUUACAUAUACGUAUAUGUAUAUAUUUACAUAUCUGUAUAUAGAUGUAUUUACAUAUGCAUAUAUGUAUAUAUUUACAUAUAUUUACAUGUAUACAUAUAUGCAUAUAUAUAUAAAUAUAAAUACAAACCUGUCCAUGUACCCUCUAAAUCCAAAAUAAAAGUGGGGUAAAAAGGCUUAACUUUUCACAGAUUAUCUUCAAAGUGACCACUAAUGGAUAUACUUCCACACACAGAAAAAUAAACCCAGAAAGAGGAAAUUGAAUGAAAGAAGAAAUGACGAAAGAGAAAAUGGUUAAAUCUAAACAAGUUGUGAGGCUGGCACGGUGUCUCACGCCUGUAAUCCCAUCACUUUGGGAGGCCGAGGUGGGAAGAUCUCUUGAGACCAGGAGUUUCAGUCCAGUCUGGCCAACAUGGUGACACUCUGUCUAUACUAAAAAUACAAAAAUUAGCCGAGUGUGGUGGUGUGUGCCUGUAGUCCCAGUUACUUGGGAGGCUGAGGCAGGAGACUCACUUGAACCCAGGAAGUGGUGGUUACAGUGAGCCAAGAUUGCACCACUGCGCUCCAGCCUGGGCGACAGAGUGAGACUCUGUCCCAAAAAUAAAUAAAUAAAUAAAUAAAUAAAUAAAUAAAUAAAUAAAUGUAAACAUGUGAGAUUUUAAAAUAUUGUAGUAAAGUUUGGAAUUGUUUAAAAGCAAAACUUAAUGAAAAGACUAGGAAAAAUAGAGGGAUGAAUGGUAGACGAUAUUUGAAUAAAUUCUGUCAUGUAAGGGAUGAGAAAAAUCAUGGGCGCACUCUAAAUUUGUGAAUUAAAUAUAAAAUUAAUAUGGAUGUUUAAUGUUAAGGACCUCGAUUAAAACGGAAUAAUAGAAUGCGGGAAGAAAAUUAAUAUGAAACCAAAGCAUGACAAUUUUUUAAAAUAGUAAAAUAAAUACAUAUAUUAUAAAAUGAGAAUUAUAAAUUGAUUAAAUUCAUUCAUUAGAAGACAUUAAGAAACUAGAGUCUUGAAAAUUAGAUGUGUGUGGCUUAUUAAGAGAAACCCCAAAAGCAAACUGACAGAUACAUUUGAAUCAUCAGGGUUGGAAGGCAAUAUGUAUCUGACAAACUAAACAAAUAGAAGAUAAUAAGAUAAUAUGUAAUAUUACAUAAAAUACAAUUUCACAUGCCAAGAAUCCAUAAUAAUAAAACUAAUGAUAACUAUAAUAUAAUAAGAGCCAACAUUUAUGAUAAAUACAUGGCAAUUAUAAAUUUGUACAAAGCUAAGAGCUUAUCUUCAAAAUAUAUAACAUGAAAUAGCAUUAAAAAAGUAUAAUAAAAACAAAAAAAAUUAAAAAAUGAAAUUUUAAAUGUGUUACCCUAUUUGAAGGUUUUAAGAAAGUUUUCUUAGAAUAUAAUAUAUUGUACAUAAAUAAGCAUAAAUAUAGG